rnacentral:rRNA from 1 species
UACGUAGGGGGCAAGCGUUGUCCGGAAUCAUUGGGCGUAAAGCGCGCGUAGGCGGCCCGGUAAGUCCGCUGUAAAAGUCCGGGGCUCAACCCUGGAAAGCCGGUGGAUACUGUCGGGCUAGAGUCCGGAAGAGGCGAGUGGAAUUCCUGGUGUAGCGGUGGAAUGCGCAGAUAUCAGGAAGAACACCCGUGGCGAAGGCGGCUCUCUGGGACGGUACUGACGCUGAGACGCGAAAGCGUGGGGAGCGAACAGG